GAUGAACGCUAGCUACAGGCUUAACACAUGCAAGUCGAGGGGCAGCAUGGUCUUAGCUUGCUAAGGCCGAUGGCGACCGGCGCACGGGUGAGUAACGCGUAUCCAACCUGCCUUACACUCUUGGACAGCCUUCUGAAAGGGAGAUUAAUACAAGAUGUUAUCAUGAGUAAGCAUUUUCGCAUGAUUAAAGGUUUACCGGUGUAAGAUGGGGAUGCGUUCCAUUAGAUAGUAGGCGGGGUAACGGCCCACCUAGCCGACGAUGGAUAGGGGUUCUGAGAGGAAGGUCCCCCACAUUGGAACUGAGACACGGUCCAAACUCCUACGGGAGGCAGCAGUGAGGAAUAUUGGUCAAUGGGCAGAGCCUGAACCAGCCAAGUAGCGUGAAGGAUGAAGGUCCUACGGAUUGUAAACUGCUUUUAUAAGGGAUAAAGUGAGUCUCGUGAGACUUUUUGCAUGUACCUUAUGAAUAAGGACGGCUAAUUCCGUGCCAGCAG
rnacentral:rRNA from 1 species